rnacentral:ncRNA from 1 species
GAGCUGUGGUUGAAAGUCGAAGCCAGUCGCAGGCAAAACGAUCCACGUAAGGUAUUCAACAAUAAAAUAAUCGAUCAUGGUGCGGCCUAGAUGUAAGUCCAGCCGGUCUAAACCGAGAGAAGGAACAGUGAGAUGAUAUCAGGCGAAACUUCCAGCUGGCGGGUGUGGGGGCAAAGACCAGGUCAGUCGGA